rnacentral:rRNA from 1 species
AUUGAACGCUGGCGGAAUGCUUUACACAUGCAAGUCGAACGGUAGAGGGGGCAACCCCUCGAGAGUGGCGAACGGGUGAGUAAUAUAUCGGAACGUGCCCAGUCGUGGGGGAUAACGUAGCGAAAGUUACGCUAAUACCGCAUACGAUCUAAGGAUGAAAGCGGGGGAUCGCAAGACCUCGCGCGAUUGGAGCGGCCGAUAUCAGAUUAGGUAGUUGGUGGGGUAAAGGCUCACCAAGCCAACGAUCUGUAGCUGGUCUGAGAGGACGACCAGCCACACUGGAACUGAGACACGGUCCAGACUCCUACGGGAGGCAGCAGUGGGGAAUUUUGGACAAUGGACGCAAGUCUGAUCCAGCCAUUCCGCGUGCAGGAUGAAGGCCCUCGGGCUGUAAACUGCUUUUGUACGGAACGAAAAGGUCUCUCUUAAUACGGGGGGCUCAUGACGGUACCGUAAGAAUAAGCACCGGCUAACUACGUGCCAGCAGCCGCCGCAG